rnacentral:RNase_P_RNA from 1 species
UCAGUCGGCCGGACGGCCGCUCCGGCAAGGGUCGAAAGGCCGCCGGGGAGGAAAGUCCGGGCUCCCUUGACAUGCGGUGCCGGAUAACGUCCGGCGGGGGCAACCCCAGGGAAAGUGCCACAGAGAACGAACCGCCCGCCGUCGCCCCUUCGGGGCUAUGGUGGGUAAGGGUGAAAAGGUGCGGUAAGAGCGCACCGCGGUUCCGGCAACGGAGCCGGCAUGGCAAACCCCACCGGGAGCAAAACCGAAUAGGGAUGGCUUAAGCGGGCUGUUCGCUUUGAGCGAUAACGCCGCGGGGCGAUGUCAGGCCCGCCGUCCGGGUAGGUUGCUCGAGGCAAUGUGCAAACAUUGUCCCAGAGGAAUGGCCGUCACGUAUCGCCUGCGCAAGCCGGCGGUGCCCUACAGAACCCGGCUUACAGGCCGGCUGAUGUG